rnacentral:rRNA from 1 species
GCAUAUCAAUAAGCGGAGGAAAAGAAACUAACAAGGAUUCCCCUAGUAACGGCGAGUGAAGCGGGAUGAGCUCAAAUUUAAAAUCUGGCUGGUUUACUAGUCCCGAAUUGUAGUUUAAAGAAGCGUUUUCGGUGGCAGCCUGGGUAUAAAUCCUUUGGAAUAGGGUAUCAUAGAGGGUGAGAAUCCCGUCUUUGACUCAGUGAAUGCUACUAUGUGAUACGUUUUCAAAGAGUCGAGUUGUUUGGGAAUGCAGCUCAAAAUGGGUGGUAAAUUUCAUCUAAAGCUAAAUAUUGGCGAGAGACCGAUAGCGAACAAGUACCGUGAGGGAAAGAUGAAAAGAACUUUGAAAAGAGAGUUAAACAGUGCGUGAAAUUGUUGAAAGGGAAACGUUUGACACCAGUCAUGCGGGUGGAAAAUCAGUCUUUUUGAGUAGGGAGUGGUGGAGGUUCGGACCGCAAGGCUGGCCUUUAUCUCAUUUCUGCUCUAAUGGAUGCACUUUUUCAUUUGCAGGUCAACAUCAGUUUCUUCUGCUGGACAAAACUCUAAGAGAAGGUAGCAGCUUAGGCUGUGUUAUAGCUCUGGAGCGAUACAGUGGAGGGGACUGAGGUUUUCGCAGUGUGUGCUCUCGGGCAAGGUUGACUAGGUGCUAUGUGAUCGUUCGGUGUACAAUGCAUGCAUUUUGCGCUGUGUCUUUUGCAUACUCGCCUGGCUCGACUCUUCCACGCUUAGGAUGUUGACUUAAUGGUUUUAAACGACCCGUCUUGAAACACGGACCAAGGAGUCUAACAUAUAUGCAAGUGUUUGGGUGGCAAACCCAUACGCGUAAUGAAAGUGAACGUAGGUGCGAUCCGCAAGGUGCAGCAUCGACCGAUCUUGAUAUUUUUUGGAUAGAUUUGAGUAAGAGCAUAUAUGCUGGGACCCGAAAGAUGGUGAACUAUGCCUGAAUAGGGUGAAGCCAGAGGAAACUACUGGUGGAGGCUCGUAGCGAUUUCUGACGUGCAAAUCGAUCGUCAAAUUUGGGUAUAGGGGCGAAAGACUAAUCGAACCAUCUAGUAGCUGGGUUCCUGCCGAGU